rnacentral:RNase_P_RNA from 1 species
GAGGGCUGGAUGGCCGCGGUGCCGGUCCGCCGGUGUCGAGGAAAGUCCGGACUCCCUGAAGCGGCGGUGCCGGGUAACGCCCGGGCGGGGAAACCCGACGGACAGCGCCACAGAGAACAGACCGCCCCGGCCUGCCCGGGGUAAGGGUGAAACGGUGGGGUAAGAGCCCACCGGGGGGCUGGCAACAGUCCCCGCAUGGCAAGCCCCACCGGGAGCAAUGCCGAAUAGGGAUCCCGCACGGGGGGCUUCACCCCGGGAUCCGGGUUGGCAGCUUGAGGCCCCGCGCGAGCGGUGGUCCAGAGGAAUGGCCAUCCAGCCUCGGACCACGGUGCGGGGUGGACAGAAUCCGGCUUACAGGCCCUCC